rnacentral:rRNA from 1 species
CCUACGGGAGGCUGCAGUCGAGAAUUUUUCACAAUGGGGGAAACCCUGAUGGAGCGACGCCGCGUGGAGGAUGAAGGUUUUCGGAUUGUAAACUCCUGUCACUGCAGAACAAGGGUAUGCCAGUUAACAGCCGGCGUAUUUGAUGGUAUGCGGAGAGGAAGGGACGGCUAACUCUGUGCCAGAAGCCGCGGUAAUACAGAGGGUGCGAGCGUUAAUCGGAAUUACUGGGCGUAAAGCGUGCGUAGACGGUUGCGUAAGUCGGAUGUGAAAUCCCCGGGCUUAACCUGGGAAUUGCAUUCGAGACUGUGUAGCUGGGGUGCGGAAGAGGGAAGCGGAAUUUCCGGUGUAGCGGUGAAAUGCGUAGAUAUCGGAAGGAACAUCAGUGGCGAAAGCGGCUUCCUGGUCCAGCACCGACGUUCAGGCACGAAAGCGUGGGGAGC